CACACCGCCCGUCACAUCACGAAAGUGGGUUGCACUAGAAGCCCGCGGGCCAACCGCAAGGGGGCAGCGGUCCAAGGUGUGACUCAUGAUUGGGGUG
rnacentral:rRNA from 1 species